CCGCACCUGGAGGCGUGCUUAUACAUAUAUGUUCAAAUUUAAACAAACACUGAUUCGCCUCGUUUUACUACUUCACGUCAAACAAAAACGCUCGGUCCUUUUUGUUACAAACUAGUAGAGAGUUUGUUGACCAAUCAUAAUGCAGUGCCUGUGGUCUGGUAAGACCUUCGGAACACGAUACAAUUUGCCUAUGAAAUUUUCCGUCAUGUGAUACAAUAACAACAUUAUCAGAUAAGGUUCCCACAACGUAAACAUUUCCAUUCGUGUCUACUGCGAUACCGUGUGGACCUUUUAAAACUUUUUCCUCUUUGAAUUUCCAUUGUGUCGUACCUAGGAAGUCAAUACAUUCAACUGUGUUGGUACGAGGGUUUGUAUAUAGAAUGUGCUUUUUAAAUAUUGUUACAUAUGAGUAAUCGAAUUGACUUAAAGGUCCAGAUUUUAUCGAACCUUUUGCUUCGUUAUUUAAAUCGAUUGUCUUCAAUCCUUUCUCUGAUGCACAAUAUGUAAGGGUUCCGUCCUUUGUGAGCACUGCGCCUUCAUUGUAUUCUCCAACAUGAAGCCUUCUUUUAACUUUUCUUUUCUCAAUAUCAAUAAGGGUGAUAUACCAAUCGAUAUUGCGGCUACCAGAAGUCACAAAAACUAUAUUGUUAUCUAUGUAAUCUAUAUCAAAGUUACCAUCUCCUUUCAUCUCAAAGUCCUUUGUUCCAUCGUUGUUAAUUGCUAUGACCUUUUGUUGUUCGUAACAAGUAAACAUCAUUCUUCCAUCAGGCAGCAUGGUACAUCCUCUGACGUCAGUUGCAUCAAUGUUGACGGUCUGUCGUAACGUCAGUGUCAGAUUAUCAAUGGACUUUGGUAAUGGAACGGCAAUGAACUGUUGAGCCUGUUGAUCCUUUUGUCUACUAAUAAUAAGUUUGUUCGGCUCAUUAUCAA
rnacentral:lncRNA from 1 species